CAUUAUUAGGGGUUCAAGCAGCGAAGCUGGCGAAACCCUACUGUGUAUGUUGAUGUUGCUGGUCAUUAUUAGGGGUUCAAGCAGCGAAGCUGGCGAAACCCUGCUGUUGAUGUUGCUGGUCAUUAUUAGGGGUUCAAGCAGCGAAGCUGGCGAAACCCUGCUGUGUAUGUUGAUGUUGCUGGUCAUUAUUAGGGGUUCAAGCAGCGAAGCUGGCGAAACCCUGCUGUAUAUGUUGAUGUUGCUGGUCAUUAUUAGGGGUUCAAGCAGCGAAGCUGGCGAAACCCUACUGUGUAUGUUGAUGUUGCUGGUCAUUAUUAGGGGUUCAAGCAGCGAAGCUGGCGAAACCCUACUGUGUAUGUUGAUGUUGCUGGUCAUUAUUAGGGGUUCAAGCAGCGAAGCUGGCGAAACCCUACUGUAUAUGUUGAUGUUGCUGGUCAUUAUUAGGGGUUCAAGCAGCGAAGCUGGCGAAACCCUGCUGUAUAUGUUGAUGUUGCUGGUCAUUAUUAGGGUUCAAGCAGCGAAGCUGGCGAAACCCUACUGUAUAUGUUGAUGUUGCUGGUCAUUAUUAGGGUUCAAGCAGCGAAGCUGGCGAAACCCUACUGUAUAUGUUGAUGUUGCUGGUCAUUAUUAGGGGUUCAAGCAGCGAAGCUGGCGAAACCCUGCUGUAUAUGUUGCUGGUCAUUAUUAGGGUUCAAGCAGCGAAGCUGGCGAAACCCUACUGUAUAUGUUGAUGUUGCUGGUCAUUAUUAGGGUUCAAGCAGCGAAGCUGGCGAAACCCUACUGUAUAUGUUGAUGUUGCUGGUCAUUAUUAGGGGUUCAAGCAGCGAAGCUGGCGAAACCCUACUGUAUAUGUUGAUGUUGCUGGUCAUUAUUAGGGUUCAAGCAGCGAAGCUGGCGAAACCCUACUGUAUAUGUUGAUGUUGCUGGUCAUUAUUAGGGGUUCAAGCAGCGAAGCUGGCGAAACCCUGCUGUAUAUGCUGAUGUUGCUGGUCAUUAUUAGGGGUUCAAGCAGCGAAGCUGGCGAAACCCUACUGUGUAUGUUGAUGUUGCUGGUCAUUAUUAGGGGUUCAAGCAGCGAAGCUGGCGAAACCCUACUGUGUAUGUUGAUGUUGCUGGUCAUUAUUAGGGGUUCAAGCAGCGAAGCUGGCGAAACCCUACUGUAUAUGUUGAUGUUGCUGGUCAUUAUUAGGGUUCAAGCAGCGAAGCUGGCGAAACCCUACUGUAUAUGUUGAUGUUGCUGGUCAUUAUUAGGGGUUCAAGCAGCGAAGCUGGCGAAACCCUACUGUAUAUGUUGAUGUUGCUGGUCAUUAUUAGGGGUUCAAGCAGCGAAGCUGGCGAAACCCUACUGUAUAUGUUGAUGUUGCUGGUCAUUAUUAGGGGUUCAAGCAGCGAAGCUGGCGAAACCCUGCUGUAUAUGUUGAUGUUGCUGGUCAUUAUUAGGGGUUCAAGCAGCGAAGCUGGCGAAACCCUACUGUGUAUGUUGAUGUUGCUGGUCAUUAUUAGGGGUUCAAGCAGCGAAGCUGGCUAGCAGUCAGUGUUCCAAUUCAUACCAAAGAUAUUUGAUGGGGUUGAGGUGAGGGGUCUGUGUGGGCCAGUCAAGUUAUUCCACACCAAUCUCGACAAACAAUUUCUGUAUGGACCUCUCUUUGUGCACGUGGGCAUUGUCAUGCUGAAACAGGAAACUGUUACCACAAAUUUGGAAGCACAGAAUCAUCCAUCAAUCAAUCAAUCAAAUUAAUUUAUAAAGCUCUUCUUACAACAUCUGAUGUCACAAAGUGUUGUACAGAAACACAGCCUAAAACCCCAAACAGCAAGCAAUGCAGGUGUAGAAGCUCGGUGGCUAGGAAAAACUUCCUAGAAAGGUCAGAACCUAGGAAGAAACCUAGAGAGGAAGUAGGCUACGAGGGGUGGGCAGUCCUCCUCUGGCUGUGCCGGGUGGAGAUUAUAAUAGAACAUAGCCAAGAUGUUCAAAUGUUCAUAGAUGACCAGCAGGGUCAAAUAAUAAUAAUCACAGUGGUUGUAGAGGGUGCAACAGGUCAGCACCUCAGGAGUAAAUGUCAGUUGGCUUUUCAUAGCCAAUCAUUCAGAGUAUCUCUACCGUCUCGAGAGAGUUGAAAACAGCAGGUCUGA